CCCCUAGAUGUUCUGGGCCGCACGCGCGCUACACUGAACAGUUCAACAAGUCUUAACCUUGGCCGAUAGGUCUGGGUAAUCUUUGAACGCUGUUCGUGAUUGGGAUAGACCUUUGCAAUUAUGGGUCUUCAACGAGGAAUUCCUAAUAAACGCAAGUCAUCAGCUUGCAUUGAUUACGUCCCUGCCCUUUGUACACACCGCCCGUCGCACCUACCGAUUGAAUGGUCCGGUGAAAUCUCGGGACGGCGGCUUGGUCGCUUGCGUCCGACUGCUGAAACUUGAUUAAACCAUAUCAUUUAGAGGAAGGUGAAGUCGUAACA
rnacentral:rRNA from 1 species